GUUCGCCCGGGUACAACGAGCCCCAGCUUAAAACCCAAAGGACUUGGCGGUGCUUUAGACCCCCCUAGAGGAGCCUGUUCUAGAAUCGAUUUUCCCCGUUCAACCUCACCCCCUCUUGUUCUUCCCGCCUGUAUACCGCCGUCGUCAGCUUACCCUGUGAAGGUAAAGUAGUAAGCACAAUUGGCACAGCCAAAAAGUCAGGUCAAGGUGUAGCGUAUGAGGGGGGAAGAAAUGGGCUACAUUUGCUGACCCAGCAAAUACGGAUGUUGCACUGAAACAAGCAUCUGAAGGAGGAUUUAGUAGUAAGGGGAGAUUAGAGAGCUCCCCUGAAACCGGCCCUGAGCGCG
rnacentral:rRNA from 1 species